ACGGCUCAGUAACACGUAGCUAACCUGCCCUAAAGCUCGCCAUAACCUCGGGAAACUGAGGCUAAUAGCGGAUAGAAGAUGGAGGCUGGAAUGCACUAUCUUUGAAAAUUUGUUUUAGGAGGGGGCUGCGGCUGAUUAGGUUGUUGGCGGGGUAAUGGCCCACCAGGCCAUUGAUCAGUAGGGGCUCUUAGCGGAGAAGCCCCGAGAGGGAAUCUUAGACACUAUUCCCAGCCCUACGGGGUGCAGCAGGGGGGAAACUUCUGCAAUGCGCGAAAGCGUGACAGAGCAAGCCGGAGUGCUUUCCUAUAAUUGGAAAGCUUUUGUGAGAUGUAAAAAGUCUUACGAAUAAGGACUGGGCAAGACUGGUGCCAGCCGCCGCGGUAAUCCCAGCAGUCCAAGUCGCAAUCACAUUUAUUGGGUCUAAAACAUCCGUAGCUUGCUAAGUCAGUCUCUUGUGAAAUCCCGCCUCUUAAGGGUGGAAGUGCGAGAGAUACUGCUUAGCUAGAGACCGGGAGACGUAAGAAGUACGGUCAGAGUAGCGGUUAAAUGCGUUGAUCCUUUCCGGACUAACAACAGCGAAGGCAUCUUACGAGAACGGAUCUGACAGUAAGGGAUGAAGGCUAGGGGCGCAAAACGGAUUAGAUACCCGUGUAGUCCUAGCAGUAAACACUGCACACUAAACAUUGGGGCCUCCUCGAGAGGUUUCAGUGCUGUAGCGAAAGCGUAGAGUGUGCUACCUGGGGAGUAUAGUCGCAAGGCCGAAACUUAAAGGAAUUGGCGGGGGAGCACA
rnacentral:rRNA from 1 species